GAUAGUACCUUACUACUUGGAUACCCGUGGUAAUUCUAGAGCUAAUACAUGCUAAAAACCCCAACUUCGGGAGGGGUGUAUUUAUUAGAUAAAAAACCAACGCCCUUCGGGGCUCCUUGGUGAUUCAUAAUAACUUCUCAGAUCGCACGGCCUUGCGCCGGCGACGGUUCAUUCAAAUUUCUGCCCUAUCAACUUUCGAUGGUAAGGUAUUGGCUUACCAUGGUUUCAACGGGUAACGGGGAAUUAGGGUUCGAUUCCGGAGAGCGAGCCUGAGAAACGGCUAGCACAUCCAAGGAAGGCAGCAGGCGCGCAAAUUACCCAAUCCCGACACGGGGAGGUAGUGACAAUAAAUACUGAUACAGGGCUCUUUUGGGUCUUGUAAUUGGAAUGAGUACAAUUUAAACCUCUUAACGAGGAACAAUUGGAGGGCAAGUCUGGUGCCAGCAGCCGCGGUAAUUCCAGCUCCAAUAGCGUAUAUUAAAGUUGUUGCAGUUAAAAAGCUCGUAGUUGACCAUUUGGCCUGGCUGGCAGGUCCGCCUCACCGCGUGCACUUGUCCGGCCGGGCCUUUCUUUCUGGAGAACCGCAUGCCCUUCACUGGGCGUGUUGGGGACCAGGACUUUUACUUUGAAAAAAUUAGAGUGUUCAAAGCAGGCCUUUGCUCGAAUACGUUAGCAUGGAAUAAUAAAAUAGGACGCGCGGUCCUAUUUUGUUGGUUUCUAGGACCGCCGUAAUGAUUAAUAGGGACAGUCGGGGGCAUCAGUAUUCAAUUGUCAGAGGUGAAAUUCUUGGAUUUAUUGAAGACUAACUACUGCGAAAGCAUUUGUCAAGGAUGUUUUCAUUAAUCAGUGAACGAAAGUUAGGGGAUCGAAGACGAUCAGAUACCGUCGUAGUCUUAACCAUAAACUAUGCCGACUAGGGAUCGGGCGGUGUUAUUUAUUUGACCCGCUC
rnacentral:rRNA from 1 species